rnacentral:tRNA from 1 species
AGAUCUGUAGCUUAGCUGGUUAAAAGCACCUCUCUGAUACGGAGGAGACCGCAGGUUCAAGUCCUGCCAGAUCUA